rnacentral:lncRNA from 1 species
CUCGAUUUAACAACUCAUCUAAGUUGCCAGGAGGUCUUCCUGCGAUAGAUUCUUUGAACCUACCCGAUUUCAGGUUUUGCUGCAUAAUCCCUGAGAGCAUAUCUUGUCCUACACUGGGAACUUCAUGAACAGCCUCCACGAAACGCCUGAUGUAGUUGCGGAGUGUUUCAUUGUCUCUCUGUACGAUAGAGAAGAGAUGUGCUGGAGUUUUAGCAUAUUGCUUAUUGAUGGC